rnacentral:rRNA from 1 species
CAGUAGCCGCGGUAAUACGUAGGGUGCAAGCGUUGUCCGGAAUCAUUGGGCGUAAAGCGCGCGUAGGUGGCCAUUUAAGUCCGCUGUGAAAGUCAAAGGCUCAACCUUUGAAAGCCGGUGGAUACUGGAUGGCUAGAGUACGGAAGAGGCGAGUGGAAUUCCUGGUGUAGCGGUGGAAUGCGCAGAUAUCAGGAGGAACACCAAUAGCGAAGGCAGCUCGCUGGGACGUUACUGACACUAAGGCGCGAAAGCGUGGGGAGCGAACAGGAUUAGAUACCCGCGUAGUCCCUGUCUCUUAUAA